AGAACGAACGCUGGCGGCAGGCUUAACACAUGCAAGUCGAACGCAUCCUUCGGGGUGAGUGGCAGACGGGUGAGUAACGCGUGGGAACAUGCCCUUCAGUUCGGAAUAACCCAGGGAAACUUGGGCUAAUACCGGAUACGUGCGAGAGCAGAAAGAUUUAUCGCUGAAGGAGUGGCCCGCGUCUGAUUAGCUAGUUGGUGAGGUAAAGGCUCACCAAGGCGACGAUCAGUAGCUGGUCUGAGAGGAUGAUCAGCCACACUGGGACUGAGACACGGCCCAGACUCCUACGGGAGGCAGCAGUGGGGAAUAUUGGACAAUGGGCGCAAGCCUGAUCCAGCCAUGCCGCGUGAGUGAUGAAGGCCUUAGGGUUGUAAAGCUCUUUCGGCGGGGACGAUAAUGACGGUACCCGCAGAAGAAGCCCGGCUAACUUCGUGCCAGCAGCCGC
rnacentral:rRNA from 1 species